ACUUACAUCAUUUAAAAGCUGACAUUCCAAGCAUUAUGUAGACAUUUAUCUUUUGUUUAUAUGACAUGUAUUCGUGAAGUUACAGUUAAUUUUCUGACGCGUUUCUGAAAUGACUUCAUUGAGGGAGAGAGAACAAAACGCGCAUCAUUUUUAUUUUCUUAAUUUUGCGAAAAGCACAACAUUCUGUUUUUAUUGGGAGUGGAGAGAAAAAAACUAGACACUUUAACGUUUUAAAUGAUGUAUAAAUCAUAUCUGUAUGUCCAAAAUCAGCAGAGUUAUCUAAGUCUCUUUACGGAGUGAUUGAAAAAUAAAGAGUUGGCGGCGCCCGCGCCGCAGCCGACCCCAGAGUGUUAACGUGAGCUCCCGGUUUAAAGUUCCCGUUUCAUCACAGUGGAUUAACCCUUUUGUCUCUCUCCAGUACAUCCAGUGAUUAUUCUCCUUCAUCUGCCGGCUUUCGUGUGACUGUGAAUUAUUCUCUCUCUCUCCAAGCGGGUGCUCGGUGUUUCUCGUCUUCAGAAUAGAACCGAGGACUAGUUGUGACUGUGGAUUACCUUAUUCUCUCCAAGCUGUGCUCGGUGUUUCUCGCCUUCAGAAUAGAACCGAGGACUCUUUGGGACUGUGGACUAUCACCUUCAUUCCUGGUUGAUCAUCUGGAGAAUACAGGGUUGCCCAUUUAAGAACUUUGGACUAUAGCCUGUUAAUACCUGGCUGGCCUUCGGGAGUUUAUUUAUUGAGUGCUGCUACCGCUGUCUGUCUGACUUUUAAUAAACUUUUUACUUGCAUUAGAUUCCGUGUCUGACCACCUGAUUCCUAACAGUAUGUGGAUGCUGCAGAGAAAAAGAAGGUUCCAGUCCCCUGCACAGCUUCAUAUGACACCAUAGUAGCUGCACAAAAGGAUCCUUUCAUUAUUGCAAAACUCCAGUUUUUUCUGGCAAUUGCAAGAACUUUCAACCCCUUCUUGACAAAGUUCCAAACUGAUGAGCCAGUGUUGCCCUUCUUGGCCAAAUAUUUGACUGAGCUGCUGAUGAGUUUACUGAGGCGGUUCAUUCAACGAGAGCUCACCCAGGACAUCACAUCCCUGCAGCUGAUCAAAAUAGAUCUAACAGAUGAAAAGAACUUGGUCUCCCCAAAGAGUGUAGACAUAGGCCUGGGAGCAGAAUCUGCAAUCAAAGUGAUGUAAUCAUUCAGCAGUUUACAUCAGUGCUGUCUCUAGAGGGCAGAGAUGAACAAUUCCGCUCUUUCCAGCCUUUCAAGCAACGUGUGGAUGUGUUUCUACACUUGAUCCUCAGCCCAUCCUACAUGGACCGGUUGAGAUUCUGCCAGAGCGUUUUACUUCUUUCACAUGGACAAGCCACCGUGGAGAGGGGCUUCUCCAUUAACAAGAAGGUGGAAACCAGUAACCUUCUUGGUGAAUCCUUGGAAGCACUGAGGUUAAUCUGUGACAAUGUUAGUGGCUGUGGUGGUGUCCUCAAGGUGCCUUUAAGCAAGGACCUGCUGGCUUCUGUGGCCUCAGCAAGGUCCCAGUACAGGCUCUACCUGGAGCAAGAGCGUAAAAA